UACGGGGGGGGUAAGCGUUGUUCGGAAUUACUGGGCGUAAAGGGCUCGUAGGCGGCCAACUAAGUCGGACGUGAAAUCCCUCAGCUUAACUGGGGAACUGCGUCCGAUACUGGAUGGCUUGGAUUUGGGAGAGGGAUGCGGAAUUCCAGGUGUAGCGGUGAAAUGCGUAGAUAUCUGGAGGAACACCGGUGGCGAAGGCGGCUCACUGGUCCGGUACUGACGCUGAGGUGCGAAAGCGUGGGGAGCAAACAGG
rnacentral:rRNA from 1 species